rnacentral:lncRNA from 1 species
GGUCCCGCAUCAGCACCGCUUCCGUGAAGACGGCGCAGCUGGGAGUCCGGCUACCCAGCCUGCCCGGCAGGAACUGCUUUGCAGGCAAGGCUGCGGCGGCUGCGCAGGAGGUCCCGGGGCUGCCCACUCACUGGUUGGCAUGGGCGUCUUGCCCGCGUGUCACACAGGGUCACUCGGCCGUGCAGGUGCAGAUGCUGGUUUCAUGCUGAGAACUUUACAUGGAUUGUUUCAUUUCAUCCUCACCGAACCCGUGAAGAAGACAAUACUUUUGCCCCCCACCACCCCUUUUUUAAAGAUGAGGAAACUGAGGCUCAAACUGAGGUUCAAAGAGCGUUGCCCAAGGUUCUGCAGGGAGCAGCCUGGCCCCAGCGCCCGCCCACACCCUUAAUCACUGGGUUCUAUAUCCUCCUGACAAGGGAGGAAUGACAGGCGAGGACAGGUUUGGCCGUGGUGUGUUUCAGAGCCUGGACUCUGGAGACUGAUGGUGUGUCCUGGUUGAAGUCCCCUAAACUCAGAGUCUUCUCUUGUUCUGUCAGCUGUACAGUGGGGGAAAUAAUACUUCAUAGGGUUGUUUGGAGGAAUAAAUAAGUGUUUGCAUGCCAGGGAUACCAAGAAGAGUGACAGAAUCUGUGCUCGAG